rnacentral:tRNA from 1 species
GGUUCUAUGGUGAAAUGGUUAGCACUCUAGACUCUGAAUCUGGUGAUCCGAGUUCAAGUCUCAGUAAAACCU